rnacentral:lncRNA from 1 species
AUGGCGUUUUCGUGUGUAUUGAGAGGGAGGGUCACCCCUGUCCUCAACCCAGCGCCCUCUUGCCCCUUGGCCCACUUGGCCUCAUCCUCUCUCACCCCCAGAAUGGCCGUCCCCCCAUUCUACAAGUCCUACCCCUGCUGGGUCCCCCCUGUCCAGUCCAGUGUCUCUUGUCCACCUCCCCCUCAGGCUCUGCUCUCUCUCCUCCCUCCCUACUGCCCUGCUGCCCUGAGCUCUUCUCUCUCUCUCAACCUUUCCCUCCAAUUUGCCUUUAAGCGACUCCAGGGGACUGUCCACACCCCCCACGCUCCCCCCCCCUCUCGCCCUGACCGCUCCCCUCCCCCGCUGCCUCGCAGUUUCUCUCUGCAGGAGUCUGGCCCUGCCUCACCCCUCCUGUCCGGCUCUUUCUCCCCAGUGCUGCCUCGCUCUGCCUCGGUCCUGCUGCCUCAUCCCCCUGGACCCUCACUGCCUUGUUCUCUCUGCCCCCUGAUGGCUGCGGUUGUCUCACUGAGGCUGCCUCCCCCUUCCUCAGCCUUCCUACCCCGAUCUAUCCAGCUCGCUCUGCUGGACCCUUUCUCUCCUCCCUCCGCCUCACCCUGACUCACCCCUCCCAGACCCCACGGUGUUCAGGAACAGCCCCCAGCUCUGUCUCUUCUCUCCAGACUCCUGGGCCCCAAGGAUUUAAUUCAGUUUUUAUAUAGAACAUUAACUAUUAAUUUUUCAUUACAGAACAGUGCAUAUUUAACAUUUAACUCUCAGUGAACUUUUUGUUAAUUUAUAGAUAACUAUUUGUUGUCAAAAUGUUAAGUCUUUGUAGUCUUUAAUGCUUAAUUUAUUUUUUCACCAUCUUCAGUUUUAAAAUUAAUAAAGAACUUAUACUGUCAUUUUGACUCUUUACAGAAAAAUGUAUUUCUAUAAGCAGAAGGUCUGCUGACUGUAUUUGCUUGGUUCUGUAGAUGCUCUUCAGUUGCAGAUCUGCUACAACAGGAUGCUCUGACCACCACUAUUUGCUCUAUUUCACUCCUAGAGAGUGGUUUGCAAUCUCCUACGUUUUCUGUGCUUGCAAAGUAAUUUUUGCAGAUAUUUAAAAGUUUUUUACAAAUCCUAAAAAAAAUUCUCACAGGUCUUCUGCAUACUGAAAUCUUUUUUUGUAUCUUUCUAUUAGUUUACAAGUAUUUUAUUUGUAAAUGUUUGAAGAGUUUAACAAGACUAACAAGAAACAUUGAAAACAAAACAGAAGAAGCAACCACACAAGGAAAAAAAACACUGAAACUUGCCUUUUUACAGCUCUCUUGCUGAAAUAAGAAGAGUUGAGAUCUAGCAUAAAGUAACCACAGACUUUUUGGGUGUGUAACAUAAUCACAAAUCUGUACAAAAGUAUUUUUCAACACAUUAAAGGUCCUAUGGAAUCGCUCCACAGUGUCUGUCCUAUAAAUACAUAUCCUCUCUAUUGUAAUAGAGCAGAUCAUCUCACCGAACCAGCUAUUGAAACAGGGUCCAAUGAGACAUUUCCGUUCUUUAAGAAUCAUGUUUUUGGCCACAACCAUUCAGAACAUCAGUGCAGAUUCGUUAGUCUGGGAGUUGACUCUGAACAGCCGAAGAGAGAGUCAGGGUGGCCCUAGCUUUUUGGAGGCUCUGGGCAAGAGCUUGGAAAGGGCACCCCAGAUCACAAUUGGC